GUCUGUAGCCACACCACUCUGAAUAUGCCUGAUCUUGGAAGCUAAGCAGGGCUGGGCCUGGGCAGUGCUUGGAUGAGAGGAAAAUUACAGACU
rnacentral:rRNA from 1 species